GGAUGUGAGGACAAUCUGGCUGCAUCAUCUGUCUCCUCAUUGUUACCAGGAUUGAUUCAACUGAUCUGGCUGGGUGGCUGGGUGUACCCUUGUGUCAACUGCUGCUUCAUGUAUAUGCCUCCAAAGCUUAAUGCUCAGUUGAAGAGGAUGACUGUCCCCAGCAGAGGAGGACCAUUUCCUCGGUCAGGGGGUGUCUGAAAAGCUGUGCUCUCCUAUUAGAACCUCCAAACAAGCUCUCAAUGCAAUUGAUGUGAUGGUAGAAGGUUUUAGUUAGGUGUGAGUCUAUAAAUAUUUUUCUUUUAAAAAUUUUUAUUU
ensembl:misc_RNA 7SK 7SK RNA